rnacentral:rRNA from 1 species
GGGUUGUGAGGUUAAGCGACUAAGCGUACACGGUGGAUGCCCUGGCAGUCAGAGGCGAUGAAGGACGUGCUAAUCUGCGAAAAGCGUCGGUAAGGUGAUAUGAACCGUUAUAACCGGCGAUGUCCGAAUGGGGAAACCCAGUGCAAUUCGUUGCACUAUCGUUAACUGAAUACAUAGGUUAACGAGGCGAACCGGGGGAACUGAAACAUCUAAGUACCCCGAGGAAAAGAAAUCAACCGAGAUUCCCCCAGUAGCGGCGAGCGAACGGGGAGCAGCCCAGAGUCUGAAUCAGCUUGUGUGUUAGUGGAACGGUCUGGAAAGUCCGACGGUACAGGGUGAUAGUCCCGUACACCAAAAUGCACAGGCUGUGAACUCGAAGAGUAGGGCGGGACACGUGGUAUCCUGUCUGAAUAUGGGGGGACCAUCCUCCAAGGCUAAAUACUCCUGACUGACCGAUAGUGAACCAGUACCGUGAGGGAAAGGCGAAAAGAACCCCGGCGAGGGGAGUGAAAAAGAACCUGAAACCGUGUACGUACAAGCAGUGGGAGCNNNNNNNNGUGACUGCGUACCUUUUGUAUAAUGGGUCAGCGACUUAUAUUCUGUAGCAAGGUUAACCGUAUAGGGGAGCCGCAGGGAAACCGAGUCUUAACUGGGCGUUAAGUUGCAGGGUAUAGACCCGAAACCCGGUGAUCUAGCCAUGGGCAGGUUGAAGGUUGGGUAACACUAACUGGAGGACCGAACCGACUAAUGUUGAAAAAUUAGCGGAUGACUUGUGGCUGGGGGUGAAAGGCCAAUCAAACCGGGAGAUAGCUGGUUCUCCCCGAAAGCUAUUUAGGUAGCGCCUCGUGAACUCAUCUUCGGGGGUAGAGCACUGUUUCGGCUAGGGGGUCAUCCCGACUUACCAACCCGAUGCAAACUACGAAUACCGAAGAAUGUUAUCACGGGAGACACACGGCGGGUGCUAACGUCCGUCGUGAAGAGGGAAACAACCCAGACCGCCAGCUAAGGUCCCAAAGUCAUGGUUAAGUGGGAAACGAUGUGGGAAGGCACAGACAGCCAGGAUGUUGGCUUAGAAGCAGCCAUCAUUUAAAGAAAGCGUAAUAGCUCACUGGUCGAGUCGGCCUGCGCGGAAGAUGUAACGGGGCUAAACCAUGCACCGAAGCUGCGGCAGCGACGCUUAUGCGUUGUUGGGUAGGGGAGCGUUCUGUAAGCCUGCGAAGGUGACCUGUGAGGGUUGCUGGAGGUAUCAGAAGUGCGAAUGCUGACAUAAGUAACGAUAAAGCGGGUGAAAAGCCCGCUCGCCGGAAGACCAAGGGUUCCUGUCCAACGUUAAUCGGGGCAGGGUGAGUCGACCCCUAAGGCGAGGCCGAAAGGCGUAGUCGAUGGGAAACAGGUUAAUAUUCCUGUACUUGGUGUUACUGCGAAGGGGGGACGGAGAAGGCUAUGUUAGCCGGGCGACGGUUGUCCCGGUUUAAGCAUGUAGGCUGGUUAUCCAGGCAAAUCCGGAUAAUCAAGGCUGAGGUGUGAUGACGAGGCACUACGGUGCUGAAGUAACAAAUGCCCUGCUUCCAGGAAAAGCCUCUAAGCAUCAGGUAACACGAAAUCGUACCCCAAACCGACACAGGUGGUCAGGUAGAGAAUACCAAGGCGCUUGAGAGAACUCGGGUGAAGGAACUAGGCAAAAUGGUGCCGUAACUUCGGGAGAAGGCACGCUGGUGUGUAGGUGAAGUCCCUGCGGAUGGAGCUGAGACCAGUCGAAGAUACCAGCUGGCUGCAACUGUUUAUUAAAAACACAGCACUGUGCAAACACGAAAGUGGACGUAUACGGUGUGACGCCUGCCCGGUGCCGGAAGGUUAAUUGAUGGGGUUAUCCGUAAGGAGAAGCUCUUGAUCGAAGCCCCGGUAAACGGCGGCCGUAACUAUAACGGUCCUAAGGUAGCGAAAUUCCUUGUCGGGUAAGUUCCGACCUGCACGAAUGGCGUAAUGAUGGCCAGGCUGUCUCCACCCGAGACUCAGUGAAAUUGAACUCGCUGUGAAGAUGCAGUGUACCCGCGGCAAGACGGAAAGACCCCGUGAACCUUUACUAUAGCUUGACACUGAACAUUGAGCCUUGAUGUGUAGGAUAGGUGGGAGGCUUUGAAGCGUGGACGCCAGUCUGCGUGGAGCCAACCUUGAAAUACCACCCUUUAAUGUUUGAUGUUCUAACGUUGGCCCCUUAUCGGGGUUGCGGACAGUGUCUGGUGGGUAGUUUGACUGGGGCGGUCUCCUCCCAAAGCGUAACGGAGGAGCACGAAGGUUAGCUAAUCCUGGUCGGACAUCAGGAGGUUAGUGCAAUGGCAUAAGCUAGCUUGACUGCGAGCGUGACGGCGCGAGCAGGUGCGAAAGCAGGUCAUAGUGAUCCGGUGGUUCUGAAUGGAAGGGCCAUCGCUCAACGGAUAAAAGGUACUCCGGGGAUAACAGGCUGAUACCGCCCAAGAGUUCAUAUCGACGGCGGUGUUUGGCACCUCGAUGUCGGCUCAUCACAUCCUGGGGCUGAAGUAGGUCCCAAGGGUAUGGCUGUUCGCCAUUUAAAGUGGUACGCGAGCUGGGUUUAGAACGUCGUGAGACAGUUCGGUCCCUAUCUGCCGUGGGCGCUGGAGAAUUGAGGGGGGCUGCUCCUAGUACGAGAGGACCGGAGUGGACGCAUCACUGGUGUUCGGGUUGUCAUGCCAAUGGCACUGCCCGGUAGCUAAAUGCGGAAGAGAUAAGUGCUGAAAGCAUCUAAGCACGAAACUUGCCCCGAGAUGAGUUCUCCCUGAGACUUUAAGUCUCCUGAAGGAACGUUGAAGACGACGACGUUGAUAGGCCGGGUGUGUAAGCGCAGCGAUGCGUUGAGCUAACCGGUACUAAUGAACCGUGAGGCUUAACCUUACAACGCCGAAG